GGGUGUAAAGGGAGCGUAGGUGGCAUGGUAAGCCAGAAGUGAAAACCCAGGGCUCAACUCUGUGGAUUGCUUUUGAAACUGUGUAACUGGAGUGCAGGAGAGGUAAGCGGAAUUCCUAGUGUAGCGGUGAAAUGCGUAGAUAUUAGGAGGAACACCAGUGGCGAAGGCGGCUUACUGGACUGUAACUGACGUUGAGGCUCGAAAGCGUGGGGAGCAAACAGG
rnacentral:rRNA from 1 species